AUACUUACCUGGCAGGGGAGAUACCAUGAUCAAGAAGGUGGUUCACCCAAGGCGAGGCUUACUCCAUUGCACCCAGGUUAUGCUGACCCGUCGCGAAUUCCCAAAUGUGGGAAGUCUCCGACUGCAUAAUUUGUGGUAGUGGGGGACUGCGUUCGCUCUCUCCCCUG